GACUACCCGCUGAAUUUAAGCAUAUUAAUAGGCGGAGGAAAAGAAACUAACAAGGAUUCCCCAAGUAGCGGCGAGCGAACAGGGAAGAGCCCAGCACGGAAUCCCGCGUGGCAACGCGCAGGGAGAUGUCGUGUGUGGGAGGUUCCGCAUUCUCGGGCGUCGGUGCCGAGUUCAAGUCUCCCUUGAACGGGGCUACAUCCCGUAGAGGGUGCCAGGCCCGUAGUGACCGGCACCGUGCCCGAGAGGAGCUCUCCUCAGAGUCGUGUUCCUUGAGAGUGGAGCACUAAGUGGGUGGUAAACUCCAUCUAAGGCUAAAUAUGACCACGAGACCGAUAGCGAACAAGUACCGUGAGGGAAAGUUGAAAAGAACUUUGAAGAGAGAGUUCAACAGUACGUGAAACCGUUCAAGGGUAAACGGGACAGAUCCGAAUAGGCGAAAGGGGGAGACUCAUUCUUGUCCACGCAGGGCGCCCGAAGUUGCCUUGGGGAUGGCCCCGGCCAGCGGUCGCGCCGCAAGGCGCGCUCCGUGUCGGUCCGGAGUCACCCUUGGCCCGGAAGCACAAAGUCUCUGGUGCUGGCGAGGUGCACUUCUUCCCCGAGUAGGACGUCGCGACUCGUUGGGCACCGGUCUGUAAGGGCUCUGGGAAUUGUCCUUAGUCGACCUCCGAAGCCGGUUUGGCUCGGGCCAAAGGUCGCCGGGAACCCGUUCCAUGCCUGGCCGGAGCCCGACGGUAUAGCAUGGCGGAGAAGGCCCGCUCCUUAACUGCGAGUGAGCGUCCGGACCGAGGGCAAGCUCUUCGGGUUGUGUCUGGGUGGUCCGUGGCGAACGCCACGCCCCCGGCCCCCGUCGGCUGUUGGUCCUCGGAUUCCUCGGACGGUAGCAGUCUCCCGUCGGCGGCGCUUAAAGCUUCGGUCUCUUUCCCGACCCGUCUUGAAACACGGACCAAGGAGUCUAACAUGUGCGCGAGUCAUUGGGCUGUCUAAACCCAAAGGCGCAGUGAAAGCAUGGCAAAGGCGCGUCACUCGUGGCGUUGCCGAUGUUUGUUGGGAGGAUGGCCGUCUGGCCUCGCCCUCCGCGGCGAGUGUCCGGGCCCGCACUCCCGGGGCGCCUCGGCCUCGGCCGCAGGCGCACCCAGAGCGUACACGUUGGGACCCGAAAGAUGGUGAACUAUGCCUGGUCAGGACGAAGUCAGGGGAAACCCUGAUGGAGGUCCGCAGCGAGUCUGACGUGCAAAUCGAUCGUCAGAGCUGGGUAUAGGGGCGAAAGACUAAUCGAACCAUCUAGUAG
rnacentral:rRNA from 1 species